AACGAACGCUGGCGGCAUGCCUAACACAUGCAAGUCGAACGAGACCUUCGGGUCUAGUGGCGCACGGGUGCGUAACGCGUGGGAACCUGCCCUUAGGUUCGGAAUAACUCCCCGAAAGGGGUGCUAAUACCGGAUAAUGUCUUCGGACCAAAGAUUUAUCGCCUUUGGAUGGGCCCGCGUUGGAUUAGCUAGUUGGUAGGGUAAAAGCCUACCAAGGCGACGAUCCAUGGCUGGUCUGAGAGGAUGAUCAGCCACACUGGGACUGAGACACGGCCCAGACUCCUACGGGAAGCAGCAGCGGGGAAUAUUGGACAAUGGGCGAAAGCCUGAUCCAGCAAUGCCGCGUGAGUGAUGAAGGCCUUAGGGUUGUAAAGCUCUUUUACCCGGGAUGAUAAUGACAGUACCGGGAGAAUAAGCUCCGGCUAACUCCGUG
rnacentral:rRNA from 1 species